rnacentral:lncRNA from 1 species
CACAUCCUCACAGAGAUGUCAAGUCCUUAACCUGCUGAGCCACAAUUGAAACUCCCUCACAGACAUUAUACUGAGUGAACAAAAGAGAACAUAAAAGAUAUAUUAUUAUAUGACUCCUUUUACAUGAAAAUCAAAAACAUACAACUAAUGAAAAGUGAUAAAGUCAGAAUAGUAUUUACCUCUGGGGCAAGGGCUGUUGACUGGAAAGGGACAAAUGACAACUUUCUGGGCUGUUGGAAUAUCCUUUUAGGUUUCACUUAAGCAAGUAUAUACUUACAUAUUGUCUCAAAAUGUGUAUUUAAGAUAAAUAUUCUUUACCACAUGUAUAUUUUAUACAUCUAUAAAAUACCCCAAUGAAGUGUAUCGCCCUAAAUUUAGAGGAAAUUUUAAUUUUCUUCUUUUUGCUAGGUGUUCUAAAUGUCCUCACCUUUUCCUCAGUUAUAUUUUCCAAAAGGUCUAAAAUGAAGGCAUAUGAUAAACUGCAGUGACAAAAAAAUAGAAGUUCUUAUUUUUAAAAGCAGGAGUGGAACCUCAGCUUCCUAUCCAGAUUUAGUGCCCUGAGCCUGGACCCGGCUAAAAAUAGUUCAGAACCUUGCCAGCUGGUGACCUGGGAACUGGGCUAUGUUUAGCAGAAACCAGCACGUGAGGGAAAUGGGGUAGAGCCAAGUGGAGCACUGUGGGUCUGGUAGGCAUGGCUCUUGCAGCAAACUGAGCCAAACCAUCGUCAGGAACUCAGGAUCUCCCCCUCCCCCCGCAGACCAGUGGGGAGUGUAGGCUCACAGUUUACUGGCGAGUGCAAAUGCAAAUUUAUUUUCCGUAUUGAUUAGAAAGGGAGAGGUCCAGCACUGGGAAGCAGAUUGGACAAAAAGGAAGUCAGUAGGACCCCCCCUAGGAUUCCUUUGUGGAUCAAAGGCAAAGAAAGAAGGGCUUCUGAAGGCCUGGCACAGCUACAAGGUAAGAAAAAAUGCAAAGCCAAACCAGCCGAGCUCACUUGCCCUCACAUCUCUUGCUCUGCUCUGAAUCGCACUAGAGGCUUCGUGCCAGAGGCUUCUGUCCGGGUUCGACCAAUGGGAGGCGGUGGUGGGAGCCAGCAUUUUCCUUUCCUUCUUAGCCUGUAGUGGCAUUUCUGGCAGUGACGCCUUUU